CUCCCCACCCGAAAUAAAGGGCCAGGCAUUUUCCCGAGCCGAGCCGGCCUCGGGAGGGGAUUUUCCCCCGGGUUAAUCGCACGCAGGGAAUUCCUUGGAAUCUGCGGGCUGCGUUUACCUUAGCGCGAACUGUUUCUAAACAAGAUGGACAGAGGUGGGACAAGUUUGGGGGCACGCAGGGAGCCUGGCAGGGGCAUCCAGGGAGCAGCCCCGGGCCCGGGGCGAAUAGCUGUGGCUCUGCCCCCCCCCCUACAGUGUUUCCCCGCAGCCCCACCGAGCCCCGCCGGCUGGCGAGCCGCGUUGUUACAAUGUGUCCAUUGCACAGGACGGGAACAAGGGGGAGAAAGUAGCAGUUUUGCUUAUUAAAGGUCCUGGGGUUGCAACAGCCAAUCAGCGUGGAGCUUCCAUUUUGUUUGAGCGGUGGAAGGCAGCUGGGGAUCUCUCUUUUUGCCUCUUUUCCUGGGCGAGGAGCGUCUCGCCUGGCUUUGGGCUUCAUGUUGUUUUAGCUCAUCUUGUGCUUUUGGUUUGUAAUUUGGCCGUGGUUAGGUAAUUGGCUGGUUAAAGGCACCAGGAGCCCGCAGCCAAUCAGCGCGCAGCUUCCAUUUGGCUUGAGUUAUUAGACGCUGAUCUAAAAACAUCCUUCACCAGACAGCUAAGGAGAGGCCAACAGAUCAGGCAGCCAUUUUUCUGCAAUGGAAUUAAAUGGCCAACUGGGUUUUCCUUUGUUCCAAAAGGGGAUACUUUAUUUGAAUCCACACCAUCCAUUUCAGGACUUCUCAGUGUUGUAUUAAUGUCUGACAACAUUUUAAAGGACUCAAUGAAGAAGGAAGAUAAAAAAGAUUUGGAUUUUUCCUUAUGAUUUGGAAUCCAUCUUUGUCUUGUGUAACUAGGUCAUGGCACACCCUUAUGUCAGCAGUAACAAUUUUGAAUUCAAAAAUAAGUAAAUACAUAUUUUUGUUUGGGUUUUUUAAGCUUUAGAACUAUAUUAUGACUGAACAAUAAAUUUAAAAAAAAAGUUCCUGUAUUAAACACUUAAUUCCUGGCCAUUUUUAUUAACUCCUUUGGUGCUUAUAAGCUAAACAACACAACUUCACCUUCAGAACUGCAUUCAUCAGUGGUGAGCGGGGAGAUGACUGCCCGCCCCCCCCUUUGUGAGGCUCGUGGAAAGUGAAGAAGAGAAACUACUUUCAGAUUGCAAGACAGCUCUAAUCCCCGAACUCAAGUAAGCUCUCUCCAUGCCUCCAGAGAGCUGCGGCCUGCUCAUUUUCUCCACUCCCUCUGAGAGGAGUCGAUGAUGAUGAGCAGAGCUCACUUUACUUCCCAACACCUUCCCUGCUGGUGAAGUCCUUCCUUUACUCUCAGUGUGACUCCUCUCUCAACUGAUCAAUAAUAUGCUGAGGUCUCUUUCUCCUGAGAGGACUCUGUAAACCAGCCUCCUGAGAGAGAUGCUCUCAAGGACCAGGUAUUGGACUACAGGCGGGGGCUGGUGCCACAAAGGACUGGGGGAAUCAGUCUGUAAUGCCCCAAAAUUAUUCCUAUCCGACAGCUGUUCAGUUAUCCAUAUUAAAUAAGCUGGUGAUUUGAGCCCAUCUCCUAGUGUGUAGUUGUUCACAUCAUAGAAAAAAACCAUGGCUGGCAUUUGUUGGCAGAGAAGUAAGGACUGAAUGGAGAGUAGGGAUGUAAAAGGUUAACUGGUAAGCAUUAGGCUUACCGUUAAACUACCUUAACCAUUAACCUUGGCGGCCCCACACCAGCUGGAGCAACCUGAGCCCCGGCUGCCUUGUGCCUGCCAGCCGGAGGGACCCCAGCUGUGUCAGGCUGGCCGGAGCAACCUCGGUUAACCAGUUAAAGGAUAUAAUUUUAAUUGGUUAACCUUUUUAACUGAUAUUUACAUCCCUAAUGGAGAGGUAGCUUGUACUCUCCUCUGUUCAACGCCUCCAGGGCAGGGUUGAGGGACAUAUUCUGGGGGAGCAUGAAAGGAGGAGAAGCUUCCACAGCUGCUGCCUACGGUGUGCCUUCUCAGUGGACAGUGCUCUUCAGGUUCUAGGGCUGUGAGCACCACACCUUUCACCAGUGCUAAUUCACUCAACACUGAGAUUUGGAAAAUCAUGUCAGCCACAUAAAUACUCUGGCCCACAUGAUUGAUACCCCUGAUUUAAGGGAUACCAGAGAAAAUAACCUGAAGAGGAACAGUAUGCAUUCUCUAUGAAUAGCUGCUUUCUAGGUAGAAGACAAUCUGUGGUUUAUGAACCAGAUCUGUCCCAUCUACCUAAGAGUUGCUGAAGGUUCCCUACCUGUUUUUGCUGAGUUGUGCUUCUAGUUUGGCUGUCAGUUCCAUUUUCCUGCCACAGACAGUUGUCCAGUUUUCCCAUUUUUAGCCCUUUGAACAUUAUGGUAGCAUUUGGAUGGUUUAUAUGCAUAGUUUGCCUAAGUGUUUUGCACUGGGUUAGUGCAUGAGCUGCUUUGAGCCAGAUUAAACAGGAACUCUGUUUCCAAGACAUGGAAAAGAGUAUUUUCUCAUUGAAAUUUCCUUUUUCCACAUUACUUAAUAUUCUAGAAAAUUGUUUUAGCAGCUCUUUCUGCUGAAAAGAAUUGGACAGUGUAUUAUUUCCUACUUGGCCAAGUAACAAUUUAAUAAUGUUCUGGUUUGGGCUAAACCUUAUUUAAACUGAUGCAUGUAACAGCCACCUUUCAUUCUAGAUAAAUGUAAAAAAGCAAUUGAGCUCCUUUAUAGAACCAAAACAACAACCAACGAGGAGUCCUCGUGGCACUUUAGAGACUAACAACUGUAUUUGGGCAUAAGCUUUUGUGGGCUAGAACCCACUUCAUCAGAUGCACAA